CAGCCGCCGCGGUAACACGAAGGGGGCUAGCGUUGUUCGGAUUUACUGGGCGUAAAGCGCACGUAGGCGGAUCCUUAAGUCAGAGGUGAAAUCCCAAGGCUCAACCUUGGAACUGCCUUUGAUACUGGGGAUCUCGAGUCCGGGAGAGGUGAGUGGAACUGCGAGUGUAGAGGUGAAAUUCGUAGAUAUUCGCAAGAACACCAGUGGCGAAGGCGGCUCACUGGCCCGGUACUGACGCUGAGGUGCGAAAGCGUGGGGAGCAAACAGGAUUAGAUACCCCAGUAGUCCCUGUCUCUUAUAA
rnacentral:rRNA from 1 species